GAAAGCGUGGGUAGCGAACGGGAUUAGAUACCCCGGUAGUCCACGCCCUAAACGAUGUCCGUUAGCUCUUUGGAGUAUCGACCCUCUGAGGGGCAAAGCUAACGCGUUAAACGGACCGCCUGGGUAGUACGGCCGCAAGGCUAAAACUCAAAGGAAUAGACGGGGGCUCGCACAAGCGGUGGAUCAUGUGGCUUAAUUCGUCGAUAAACGAAGAACCUUACCAGGAUUUGAAAUCAAACUGAAAGUUCCGUGAAAGCGGAACCCUCUUCGGACAGUUUGGCAGGUGUUGCAUGGCCGUCGUCAGUUCGUGAUUUGAAUUGUUCCCUUAAGUGGGGAAACGAACGCAACCCUUAUUGCCUGUUACAAGUGUCAGGCGAGACUGCUCCCUCACGGGAGAGGAAGGUGGGGAUGACGCCAGGUCAGUAUGACCCUUUGAUAUCCUGGGCUGCACACGUGAUACAAUGGUUACUACAACAGGACGCAAUACCGUAAGGUGGAGCAAAUCCUUAUAAAAGUAGCCCAAGUUCGGAUUGAGGUCUGCAAUUUGACCUCAUGAAGUUGGAAUCGCUAGUAAUCGCAGGUCAGCUAUACUGCGGUGAAUACGUUCUCGAGCCUUGUACUCACCGCCCGUCAAGUCAAGGAAGUCGGGAGUGCUCAAAGUUCCAUUUCGGUGGACCUACAGUAAACUCGAUAACAGGGGCUAAGUCGUAACAAGGCACGGCUAGCGGAAGCUGGUCGUG
rnacentral:rRNA from 1 species